rnacentral:tRNA from 1 species
UCAUUGGUGGUUCAGUGGUAGAAUUCUCGCCUUCCAUGCCAGAGUCUUGAGUUCAAUUUCCAGCCGAUACA